AGCAGGAGUUGCCCCUUUACAAAGGGAUGCAUCUACUUUUUGGGAAAAGUGCCAGGAGACUUUUACCAUGGUCCCUGAAGAUCCCAGUCCUGGGCAUCCUGGACAAAGGCGGCUCUUCAGCAGGGCCCGUUUCUGUGAUGGUGACAGACGUGCAGUGUUGCUGUGGGCAGUGCCCUCACCUUCUCCUGAAUGGAGGACUGAGAUGACAUAGGUCCUCUGCUGUUUCCCCAUCUCCUUUCCAGAAAUCUCUGAAUCUUCACCCACAUCUUUUCCUUCUUCCUCCAUUUAUAAAGAAUGUCUUUCUCCUCGUGUAAGUGGAAGAGGCUCCAGCUUUCCAAGUUAUAGCACACGAAGUCCUGGCGUGGCAGUUACCUGGUACGCGGGCCUCUCACUGUUGUGGCCUCUCCCGUUGUGGAGCACAGGCUCCGGACAUGCAGGCUCAGCGGCCAUGGCUCACGGGCCCAGCCGCUCUGCGGCAUGUGGGAUCUUCCCGGACUGGGGCACGAACCUGCAUUCCCUGCCUCGGCAGGCGGACUCUCAACCACUGCGCCACCAGGGAAGCCCUCGUCUCUGAAUUCUUGAAAGAGGAAUUCCUGCCCCAAGACAGUCUCUCACAGGUCGACUGCAUUUAAGAGACGGAAGAUAAGACUACUGAAAACAGAUUACGUGGAAACCAAAAUCUCCAUCAAUAGUGAUUCUCCAUCACUUCCUGGCCUGUUAUCUGAACUUUAUCACAAGACCACAUCAUGCAGUUGGAGGAAAAAAGUGAGUCACGCGCAAGUCCUGGUGUUAGGACAGGGGUGAAGGGUCUUGCUGGUCCCCGGGAAGAGCACCUUCGCUCUGCUCAUCACUCAUCUCGUGGGCUGGCUCUUCGUAAACAGGCUCACCGAGGUCUUCGCUGCCCCCCUCACUCUGCUCCUCACUGUGGUUUUCGCUGGGCCCCACAGUCUGUUCCAGGCUGUUCUCCAGAAGUGUGGGAGAACUGCUUAUCCUGCUUUCUUCUUCAGCUGUCUCAUUUAAGGGCUGGGAAGGAGGUGGUGUGGGAGCAUCAGACUGCAUGACACUUUCAAUGGAAGAGAUGGGGGCUUUGGUGAGCGCAGUAUCCGCUACAACCUCAUUUUGAGGCAAAGAUAACUUUUCCACAAGUUUCCACUGAAUGAUGCUCAUGUCCUUUCCACCAGUUGAAAUCAGGUGACUGUCAUUAUGAGUAAAACUGACAUUGGUGACAUGGCUGCUGUGGGCACUGUACUUGUGACUGGGAGCCUACAUGAAAUAAAUCAGACAGGAAAAUUAAACUCAUUCUUCACAUGCCUACUUACAGCAAUGGAGGUGACCAGGCUAGGGAGGUCAUUCAAUUUGUGAAACAGGUAAUUCAGAUCAAAACCGCAAGUCAUUGACUGAGGAAUAAAGCUAGCAGUAAUUUCCUUUUAAUACCUAUUUAUGUGGGAGAAACAAAGUAACUGGACAGCUGUACUUUCAGACUGUAAAAAAAAAUGAUGUCUCUUCUGCAUACUUGUUAGAAUUUAGUGACUAUUCUACUGAGAUGGCUAGGGGAGAAUUUACUAGGUUGGAAAGAUUAUAGACGAUUUAGGAGUCAUAACGUUGAUCAUGUACCAAAAAUAAAAUAUUUUUAUGUUUAGAAGAAAUUUAAAACUACCAAGGUAUCAAAAUGAAAAAAAAAAAGGACAAUAAACAAAAACGAAUAAAACAUCAUCAACUGGCUUCUCUGUCUUCUCCGUUACCUUAAUGAGGAAGGAGAAGACAAGCACAGCCUGCUUGGAUGCUUACAGCUGGCCCUGUUCCCUCCCCCCAUGCACUGUAGUAUCACAGACAGUCAUUAGUAACCCUAUGAAUAUUUUCCCACCAUUGACACAAUAUAUCCCCAAACAAAAAUUAUCCCCAAACAAAAGGCCCUAUAACACUAGUUUUUAUUAAGUUUUACCUUUGCUUUGGAGCAGGGAUACUGAAACAGGUGGACUUUGCAAAAGUCAUCAGCAACAGCUAUCACCUUUCUAUUGUGGGAUCGCACCAGUGCAUUGAUAUCUGUCCCAUCAGAUCCUUCUGGCCAGACACCUUUGAUAUGGAAACAUGCGGGGGAGGGGGGUGUGUGUAGAAAAAUUAGCCUGAAAAAUACAACUGCCAUACUACGUGUGUUUAUUUUAGAAUCUUAGUUUUCAUCCGUGUUCAAACUCUUAGCUGCUAAA